CCAUUAGGAACCACUUGUCUGAAAACCAAUUCCCCUGUGACUCCGGAAUCCUGGUCAGCUUUGAGAUGCCGUCCAUCAUAAUGCAGUUAAAUCGAUAGCGGGUUCUACAAGAGGAAUGAAUUAAACAUUAAAAAUAGCGAUUACUGAUGAGCAAGGAGAAGAAAGAGAAAAGGGGCCCCAAGAAAACAUGGAUAGCAGAAAUAGCAGCGGUAGGAGGAACCGAAUGGAGACAGAAAGCCAUAAUAUACAGAGUCAGUUGGAAAGUUGGAGUAUUCCGAUCGACGCGGAAGGUAGCUAGGAAUAUAUAUAAUAAAAAAAAUAGUUUUCUUUCAAUGUGUAAAAGCUAUGUUAAC